rnacentral:sRNA from 1 species
AUGCACCACGCGUACGCUGCGUUUCCUCCGCGCGGCCCACACCCACCGGACGACUGCUCGCUAUGUUUCGUUGGCC